CCAGAGAUUAGCUUGCUUUAUUUGUCAGCUAAGUGGCGCACGGGUGAGUAAUGUAUAGGUAAUAUGCCUCUUACUAAGGGAUAACAAAUGGAAACGUUUGCUAAUACCUUAUACUCCUUAUUAACAGAAGUUAAUAAGGGAAAGAUUUAUUGGUAAGAGAUUAGCCUGUAUUGUAUCAGUUAGUUGGUGGGGUAAUGGCUUACCAAGACUAUGACACAUAACUGGUUUGAGAGGAUGAUCAGUCACACUGGAACUGAGACACGGUCCAGACUCCUACGGGAGGCAGCAGUGGGGAAUAUUGCACAAUGGACGGAAGUCUGAUGCAGCAACGCCGCGUGGAGGAUGACACAUUUCGGUGCGUAAACUCCUUUUAUAUGAGAAGAUAAUGACGGUAUUAUAUGAAUAAGCACCGGCUAACUCCGUGCCAGCAGCCGCGGUAAUACGGGGGGUGCAAGCGUUACUCGGAAUCACUGGGCGUAAAGAGCAUGUAGGCGGAUUAAUAAGUUUGAAGUGAAAUCCUAUAGCUUAACUAUAGAACUGCUUUGAAAACUGUUAAUCUAGAAUGUGGGAGAGGUAGAUGGA
rnacentral:rRNA from 1 species